rnacentral:snRNA from 1 species
AAAAAGGGUGCUCGCUACUUUUAUAGCGCGCCGGACUGUCUCCGGAUCGGCGGGGUAUGGAAAUCAAGACAUACCCAGUACAUAAUUUUUGAGAACUGUGAGGAUGUUAGCUGCCUUUAAAGCACUGACUCCUCC